UACAGGGGGCGCGAGCGUUGCUCGGAAUCACUGGGCGUAAAGCGUACGCAGGCGGGUCGAUAAGUCCGGUGUGAAAUCCCGGGGCUCAACCCCGGAAAUGCGAUGGAGACUGCCGAUCUUGAGUACGGGAGAGGGGAGCGGAAUUCCUGGUGUAGAGGUGAAAUUCGUAGAUAUCAGGAGGAACACCGGUGGCGAAAGCGGCUCCCUGGCCCGAUACUGACGCUCAUGUACGAAAGCGUGGGGAGCAAACAGG
rnacentral:rRNA from 1 species